UACGUAGGGUGCGAGCGUUAAUCGGAAUUACUGGGCGUAAAGCGUGCGCAGGCGGUUUUGUAAGCCAGAUGUGAAAUCCCCGAGCUUAACUUGGGAACUGCAUUUGGGACUGCAAGGCUAGAGUACGGCAGAGGGGGGUAGAAUUCCUGGUGUAGCAGUGAAAUGCGUAGAUAUCAGGAGGAAUACCGAUGGCGAAGGCAGCCCCCUGGGUCGAUACUGACGCUGAGGAGCGAAAGCGUGGGGAGCGAACAGG
rnacentral:rRNA from 1 species